rnacentral:misc_RNA from 1 species
ACGCAUGCGCAGUGAAAUUACAUUUUUUGAAGGUUUUUUAAAAUGGCUACGGUAACAGGAUUUUAGAAACUAAUCAUUGACAACGAUAUUCCAACCAUAUUCGCGUUUCAACAAAGAAACUUGCCUGUUGUAAAGAAGGGAAAA